GGGCUCUUGGCACAGGGGUAGCGCGCACGCUUCGCAUUACCUGAGCUUAUCAGUGUUGCUUCAACUUGCGUGAGGUCGUGGGUUCAAUUCCCACAGUGUCCA